CCCUUAGAUGUCCGGGGCCGCACGCGCGCUACACUGAAGGAAUCAGCGUGGCUUUCUCCCUGACCCGAAAGGGUUGGGAAACCCGUUGAAUCUCCUUCGUGAUAGGGAUUGGGGCUUGAAAUUGUUCCCCAUGAACGAGGAAUUCCCAGUAAGCGCGAGUCAUAAGCUCGCGUUGAUUACGUCCCUGCCCUUUGUACACACCGCCCGUCGCUACUACCGAUUGAACGUUCCGGUGAGCUCUUCGGACUGCGCGGUCUGCAGUUUCUGCGUUCCGUGCGGAAAGUUGCGCAAACCUUAACAUUUAGAGGAAGGAGAAGUCGUAACA
rnacentral:rRNA from 1 species